rfam:Rhodanobacter sp. 115 contig328, whole genome shotgun sequence.
GGAGAGGUGGCAGAGUGGUCGAAUGUACCUGACUCGAAAUCAGGCGUACGUGUAAGCGUACCGUGGGUUCGAAUCCCACCCUCUCCG